GGGCGCGUAGCUCAGUCCGGAUUCAGAGCGUCGGACUUCUAACCGCGUCGGGACCCCGGCGAGGGAAGUCAUCCGACGGUCGCGGGUUCAAAUCCCGUCGCGCCCG
rnacentral:tRNA from 1 species